rnacentral:lncRNA from 1 species
CUACCUGGGGAGGGUGGUUCUCAUUCCACAAAUGAGAGUCUGAGGAAUCUAGUGCCCUGCAUGCCCAAUGCCCAGGCCUCAAGGCCCACGUCUGCAGAGCCCAGGGGAAAGGUGCCUUGAGGACGAAGCUGGGUCCUGGGGAGCCAGCUCCAGUACUGGGGGUGGCUCACUGUUUCCUGUCCAGGAAUGCUCAGGACAACCAGCUUCUUGCAAUCUUCCCAGCUCAGGCUCCCCAGCCUGAGUCACACCAUCACCAUACUGUGGACCCUGGACAAGCCUCCGGACUUUUCUGGGCCUCACCUUCCCCACCUGGGAGUGCAGGUGCUAAUGCCCACCUGUGGGCUGUGUCACACCAUAGGCCAAGAGCUUCUUCAGUGCCUGGCACUCAGUAGGCCUGCAAUAAAUGGAGACAGCUGCUAGGAUGCAGGCGAACCCCCUGGUGCACAGUAGGGUCUCAACCCAAUCCCGCUGACCCCAUAGCAUGGACAAGGCGAGGUUCUCAAAGGCCUCUG